AUGUUGGGGUCAAGGGCAGCCGUGACCCUGCUGGAGUGCGGGGGGGACCUCCAGCCCCCCGGGGGGUCCUUGCGCCUCCUCUGCCGAGGGUCCGGGUUCGAUUUUGGGAAAUUUGCAAUGGGCUGGAUCCGUCAGAGACCCGGGCAGGGGCUGAAAUUCAUCGCCAGCAUCAACAGUGAUGGUGGCAGCACCAGGUACGUGGAUUCAGUCCAGGGCCGGUUCAGGAUCGCCAGGGAGAACGGGCAGAGCUCGGUGGCGCUGAUCAUGAACAACCUCAAGGACGAGGAUUCCGGAUCCUAUUUCUGUGCCAAAUCUUCUGGUGUUAGCACUGCUCUUGCUGCUUUUGUUGGUGUUUGGGGCUCCGGGCGGCCGUGA